rnacentral:tRNA from 1 species
GCCAGUGUGGUGGAGUUGGUCGAACACACCGGUCCUGAAAACCGGCAUACGCUAAUAACGUAUCCUCGGAUCGUACCCGAGCGCUGGCGCCA